AUUUCACACUGUCACUCUCUCUCCUCUUAUCUCCUCUCCUCUUCUCUCCUCCAUCAAUCUUCCCCAUUCAAUUGGUGAUGAAACAAGGCGAGAAAAAUGGCGAUAUGGGACGAGGAGAGAGAAAAAAUGGUGAAAUUGGGGGAUUUGAUGAUUUUUAGAUCGGAGGGUUUAUGGAUUUUGCUCUACAGAUCUUUGUUUCAAAUUGAAUUUCGUCGGUCCAAGCAAUUGAAGCGUCCCAUUGAAGCGCACUUGACGUUCUCCUAUUUUUCUGGGUAUCAUUCUAUCAACGACGUCGUUUUAAGGAGUGGCCUGCUUGUUUGAAUGAAUUCGAGAAGCUUCUUUUGCGCUUAGAUACUCCCAGAGUUGCAAUUGACAAUGCUGUUUGUCCUAAUUCCACCCUUGUUAAGGUUGAUAGUGCUAGAAAACAUGGGAUUCUAUUAGAAGCUGUUCAAGUGAUCACAGAUCUUAAUCUUUCUAUUAAGAAAGCUUAUAUUUCUUCCGAUGGCAGAUGGUUCAUGGAUGUUUUCCAUGUAACUGAUCUUAACGGAAACAAAUCAAGA